UCGAACAAAAUCACAUUACAUUACGUAAAAGGGAAUUAUGACGUAUUUUUAAAGUUUGUGGUGCUGUAUUCUAAAGGUAGGCCGAGGAAGAAAAUAACAAUUAGGAGACAACCAGAAACCUGGCAAUCUGAAAUUGAGAAAAUGAGAUGUGGUUUAUCAGUGCUCCAGAAACCAAGAAAGAAAAUUGUCAAUUUUCUCAAGCAUCAGGUUUCAAAAGGACAAAAUAGUAUAAACUGUAAAUAUUGUACUGCAAAAACUUAAAGAUCAUCUGAUUCUUUCAAAUUACUAUACUACAUGUAUAUCAGACAUUCAUGUGUUGUCAUUGUGGCAUAAAUAUCACAAGUACAGUGUGUGUGACUCUGCAUUAGUCAUCCAUCACAAAAGAUGGAAAAUGUAACAAAUUGUGCUGAAUGUGCCAAAUCAUUGAAAUGCAUCUAUUUUUAUUUCA